UACGAAGGGUGCAAACGUUGCUCGGAAUUAUUGGGCGUAAAGCGCACGUAGGCGGCUUUGCAAGUCCCAUGUGAAAGCCCACGGCUUAACCGUGGAAGUGCAUGGGAAACUGCAGAGCUUGAGUACUUAAGAGGAUCGCGGAAUUCCCGGUGUAGAGGUGAAAUUCGUAGAUAUCGGGAGGAACACCAGUGGCGAAGGCGGCGAUCUGGGGAAGAUACUGACGCUGAGGUGCGAAAGCGUGGGGAGCAAACAGG
rnacentral:rRNA from 1 species